rnacentral:rRNA from 1 species
GACGAACGCUGGCGGCGUGCCUAAUACAUGCAAGUUGAGCGCUGAAGGUUGGUACUUGUACCGACUGGAUGAGCAGCGAACGGGUGAGUAACGCGUGGGGAAUCUGCCUUUGAGCGGGGGACAACAUUUGGAAACGAAUGCUAAUACCGCAUAAAAACUUUAAACACAAGUUUUAAGUUUGAAAGAUGCAAUUGCAUCACUCAAAGAUGAUCCCGCGUUGUAUUAGCUAGUUGGUGAGGUAAAGGCUCACCAAGGCGAUGAUACAUAGCCGACCUGAGAGGGUGAUCGGCCACAUUGGGACUGAGACACGGCCCAAACUCCUACGGGAGGCAGCAGUAGGGAAUCUUCGGCAAUGGACGAAAGUCUGACCGAGCAACGCCGCGGGAGUGAAGAAGGGUUUCGGAUCGUAAAACUCUGUUGGUAGAGAAGAACGUUGGUGAGAGUGGAAAGCUCAUCAAGUGACGGUAACUACCCAGAAAGGGACGGCUAACUACGUG